CUUUGGGUGUUUUUUCGCUGGAGCAAAAGGGGUCCGGGUACGUGGGGGUCCUACCUGUCGCCCUUGGUGAACUUGCGGAAAGCCUGGCGGAGGUCGUGGAAGGAGCGCCGCCGCCGCAGCUCCUGGAUCUCCUCGUCCUUCUCGCCCAAGCGCCGCUCC